CACGUAGGCACCAAGCGUUGUCCGGAUUUAUUGGGCGUAAAGAGCUCGUAGGCGGUUCAGUAAGUCGGGUGUGAAAACUUUGGGCUUAACCCAAAGCGUGCAUCUGAUACUGCUGUGACUUGAGUUCGGUAGGGGAGUGGGGAAUUCCUAGUGUAGCGGUGAAAUGCGCAGAUAUUAGGAAGAACACCAGUGGCGAAGGCGGCCCACUGGUCCGGUACUGACGCUGAGGUGCGAAAGCGUGAGGAGCAAACAGG
rnacentral:rRNA from 1 species